AUUGAACGCUGGCGGCAGGCCUAACACAUGCAAGUCGAACGAGUGGCGGACGGGUGAGUAAUGUCCGGGAAACUGCCAGAUGGAGGGGGAUAAAUACUGGAAACGGUAGCUAAUACCGCAUACCAUCAGAUGUGCCCAGAUGGGUUGAGCUAGUUGGUGGGGUAACGGCUCACCAAGGCGACGAUCCCUAGCGGAUCUGAUAGGAUGACCGUCCACAGUGGAACUGAGAAACGUUCAAAAGUCCUACGGGAGGAAGCAGUGGGGAAUAUUGCACAAUGGGCGAAGUCCUGAUGGAGCCAUGCCGGUGGUAUGAAGAAGGCCUUGGGGUUGUAAAAGACUUUCAGCUGGGAGGCGUUACCCGCAGAAGAAGCACCGGCUAACUCCGUGCCAGCAGCCGCGGUAAUUC
rnacentral:rRNA from 1 species